ACUCCUACGGGAGGCAGCAGUGGGGAAUAUUGCACAAUGGGGGAAACCCUGAUGCAGCGACGCCGCGUGAAGGAAGAAGGCCUUCGGGUUGUAAACUUCUUUGAUUGGGGACGAAUAAAAUGACGGUACCCAAAGAACAAGCCACGGCUAACUACGUGCCAGCAGCCGCGGUAAUACGUAGGUGGCAAGCGUUGUCCGGAAUUACUGGGUGUAAAGGGCGUGUAGGCGGGUAUGCAAGUCAGAUGUGAAAUCCCAUGGCUCAACUGUGGGCGUGCAUCUGAAACUGUAUAUCUUGAGUGCUGGAGAGGAAAGCGGAAUUCCUAGUGUAGCGGUGAAAUGCGUAGAUAUUAGGAGGAACACCAGUGGCGAAGGCGGCUUUCUGGACAGUAACUGACGCUGAGGCGCGAAAGCGUGGGGAGCAAACAGGAUUAGAUACCCUGGUAGUCCACGCUGUAAACGAUGGAUACUAGGUGUAGGAGGUAUCGACUCCUCCUGUGCCGGAGUUAACACAAUAAGUAUCCCACCUGGGGAGUACGACCGCAAGGUUGAAACUCAAAGGAAUUGACGG
rnacentral:rRNA from 1 species